ensembl:lncRNA
AACAACUGAUGUAAUUACUUUGCUUGGAUGAGCCUGAAUCUUUUGAUUAUUUGACAAAAAUGCCACCCAUUAAGUUUAUGUUGCGUGUGUAAAAACUCACAUGGAUUCAAACCGAUUAAACCACAAUAUUGUUUUACUGCAUCAAUAAACGUAUUCGAAUUUUAGAGUAAAUUACCAAGAAAAAGCCCGAGAGAUCUUUCAAAUCCUAUUUUGCCUGACGCGAAAGUCCAAAGAAAUGAAUAGGAAUGCACAAAUUACGUCAUUUCCUCAUUCAGCGUGUUAUUUCUUUUAAAGAACCAAGAUAAACAUGUAUUACAUUAUAAUACAUUGUUUCAGCUGCAUAUAUGGUUUGUUUUUAGGAUGUUUCACAUGCCCAGAGUUUGUCUGGGCGUCUGGCACCGGAUGCACCAUCUGCUGGUGGUGCAGGCUAACUUCAUUUUUAUUUUGUUUUAUUUUUUUUAUUUUCCCUUAGGAGUGGUGACAGCUGUUUUGCUUCAUAGCUUCCAGAACAACCCACGAAGGCGUGGGAAUGUAGGGAGGGAUCUUCUGAAUAACAUCGGGUUAAACUGCUAAAUAAAGUGAUCCAGUUAAAGUUAAGAAAUUAUCCCGAAUCGCGAGUCGGAAUUUUAAUCUGGAAUUCUCCUUCAAGUCGGACUCCCCACUCGGAAAGUCGGAAAAGCAAAAAAUUUGAACUGGUUUGGAGGGUUGGGUUGACAGAGGGAGAUACAGAAGAGGUGCAGAGCGACGGCGACCCCUAAAGGGAAAGAAGAAAAAGAAAGUCGGACGCUUCCCAACAAUCCCGGCUUCAGAAUCCACACCAGUGUUUUUAAGUGUUUUUGUUUUGUUCUUUUGUCGUCUAAGAAGUUGCCGUGAAGUUCGGUAUAUACGAGUACCGAUUGAUCCAGAUACUCUGAGAAAGAACAGCACGAAGUCUUUAUCCUGCAACUUUUAAAUUGUUUUUUCAUUUUAUUUGUGGAAGUAACAGGUUCUGUUACAUAAAUACAAUAAAUUAUACAUACGCAAUAAAUAAAUAAAUACGCAAUAAAUUAUAAAGCGAUUUUAAUGCUUUUUUUUUUAACUACUAUUUUUUCAGCGAUGCGUUUGGAAAUUAUUUUAUCUUUUUCUUUCUCUGCUCUAUUUUGAAUUAAAAAGUGUUUUUAAAAGCCUGCGGGUAAUUGCAUUCUUUUUAAUUGCGUUUCAGAGCUUCUCAUAGUUUUUGGAAUUGGGGUUGUAUUUGAUGAUAUUGAUAAAAACCCAAUCAAAACAAUAAUUCCUGCAGUUCCUUACAUUGUGACACAAAGCUUUCACUCUAUUCCCAUGAAAGCUGACACUAACUCUAACCAGCACAGGUAACUAUAGUUAAGAUAUAUCUUCUCAUACUGUAUAACUUUUCAUUUAAUCAAAUGUUUUUAUUUAAAGUAAUCUAAAAUGAAAAAUCAUGGAGAUUCUGGGGAAAAGUAAAAAGUCCAGUGAGGACGUCAAAAAAAAUG